rnacentral:rRNA from 1 species
GACGAACCGUGCGAACGUUGUUCGGAUUCACUGGGCUUAAGGGGCGCGUAGGCUGUUCGUUAAGUCGUGGGUGAAAUCUUUCGGCUCAACCGGAAAAUUGCCCUCGAUACUGGCGAGCUAGAGGGAGAUAGGGGCAGCGGGAACUACCAGUGGAGCGGUGAAAUGCGUUGAUAUUGGUAGGAACGCCGGUGGCGAAAGCGCGCUGCUGGACCUCUCCUGACGCUGAGGCGCGAAAGCUAGGGGAGCAAACGGGAUUAGAUACCCCUGUAGU